UACGAAGGGGGCUAGCGUUGCUCGGAAUCACUGGGCGUAAAGCGCACGUAGGCGGAUUGCUAAGUCAGGGGUGAAAUCCUGGAGCUCAACUCCAGAACUGCCUUUGAUACUGAGGAUCUCGAGUUCGGGAGAGGUGAGUGGAACUGCGAGUGUAGAGGUGAAAUUCGUAGAUAUUCGCAAGAACACCAGUGGCGAAGGCGGCUCACUGGCCCGAUACUGACGCUGAGGUGCGAAAGCGUGGGGAGCAAACAGG
rnacentral:rRNA from 1 species